GUCCCCAAACCACCUCACCGCAUAAUCUUAAGAAGUCACCUCACUCUCUUGACCACAGGCCCCUCAUUUGUGGAGGUGGACUUGAAACCAUUUAUCUCAUAAGGUUACCUUGCAGAUUGAAUAAGACAAUGUAGGAAAAACUGUUAGUACAAUAGCAGGUAACACUGAAAUAGAUGGUUACUAAGGAGACUAUCAGCUUUAUGACCUGAAGAAAACAAAAUUUCACCCCUGGAAAAAAGUCUGCUACUUCACAAGCAGACAGCCUUUGAAUGUGAACUGGAACAUCAGCUCUCCUGGGUCUCCAGCCUGUUGGCCCAACCUACAGAUUUCGGACUUGCUAGUCUCUAUAAUCAUGUGUGCAGGAAACGCUAAAGGAAUUGAAGAAGAAAUACCCAAGGUCAUACCCUAGGUUCCACUUAUCAAAGGUCAGCAGCCGCUGUUGCUCAUUCAGUAAAGAUAACAAGGAAUUUCUCCCAGAAGAUGGCUUUGAUUUAUGGAAACCAUGUGACUGUUAAAAGGCAGAUUAUUUUUAUUUCAGUACUUGAUCCUUUGGUGGCUCAGUGCAAACAGCAUGUCUUGGAGUAAAGUAUAUCGGAGUUAAAUCUCAGGUCCACCAGUCACCAAAUCCUCUACAUGCUCUCUCUUCUGUAAAAUCAAUUGCUAUUUCACAGAAUAAUUGGACUAAGAAAGACAAUAUAUACAGAGCUAAUAACAGAGAUACAAUAAAAUGUUUGUUUUCUUUCCUUCACUACUUCUCAUCUCCUUCUUCCCAGCCUGGCUCUAUUAUUUCUCUUUUCUUCAAAAGAGGGAAAAGAUGGGGAGAGAAAGCCGAAAGGAGUGACAUAAAAGAAAAGAUGAAGAUUAGUCCUCAGAGGAAAAGGGGCAAAAAAACCUCUUUAGAUCUCCAAUAUUUCUCAGAGCAAAUCCCAAAUCAACAGAAGCCUUAGGGGGCCACGCUA